rnacentral:lncRNA from 1 species
GGGAUGACAGUGAAGGGUGGAGAAGGCCGCGGAGCUCGCCGCCGCUGCUGGCCGAGCUACCCUGAGAAGUUUCUGGAAAGAGGGCUACAAAGGGAACCUGAGGGGAUGAAUGGAAAGCGAGCCAUUUUCUGAGAGAAGACAGCGAAAAGUCCCAACAAAAAGUACACGGCCUUAGCCGAGCCCACGACCGACGACACACUCCCAUCCAAGGAGGAAGCGUGGGGACAAGGGAGCGGACUGGGAGACGCGGAAUGGCGGGGACAUUGAAAAGAUGGAGGCGCAGCCGCCGGGGCUUGGGAGUGGCAGGGAGGCGCUAGGUCAGGGGUCCCCGAACCCCGUCCUCCUUAGCUCCGCUCCCGUGUGCGCUCUGACCUGCCCGUCUACACUCGGGGGGCCCUUCACGGGGAUGUGACGCGCACACGCGCGCGAGCUCAUGGACAGCGUGGGAAGGAACCCCGGCCGCGCGCGGGGACAGCGUCCCCACGCCACGGCCCGCCCGGCUGCCAUUUUGUAGCGCGGCCGCCAUUUUGCGCGGCCCGGGGGCGGGGGAGGGGCUCGGGGCGCGGCCCCGCGGCUCGCGAUGGGCGUGGCCGGCGGCGGGCGCGGCCCCGGCCCCCUUUGUUCUCCGCCUGGGGGUCGCGAGGCCCCUCGGGCUCUGCAGCCGCCGCCGGCGCCGCAGCAGCAGCAGCGUGUGAACCGGGAGAGGCAGCCCCAGGGCGUGCGGGAUCCGGGAGCCCAUCGGAAGCGGGGUGUGUCCCCCCGUGCGAGGGAUGACAUCCUGCGUGGGGAAACUUAAAUCGCCGCCGUGGGAAGCGGCUUACGGGCGAACCGGGCUCGGCAUCCUCCACCUCUGCAAACAAAGUCAAGUUCGGUCCCGAAAGCAACAAAGGUGCCGAAACUCCGCGGAACCUAGCACCAGGAGGCGGGGCUCGUGCAGCCCACGAGGUGGAGGAGCGCUGAGAGCUCGGCUUCCAUUGGCUGGCCCUCGGAGCACAAGGCUUUCAGGGCCCAUUCUCCCUGACCCAGAAGCCUGAACAAUAAAUAUGCUGUGAUGGCUUUCUUCUGUCGAUUUAACUUCCACUUAUUUUCAAAAAGCUAUGAGUUUAUUAAAAAUAAAUAAUAAAAUACGUGCCUGACAUCCAUCGCCCUUUCACUUUCCGAAAAAGCAAAUGUCUUCUUGAGGAAUAUUUAAAAAUGCGAAUCUUAGUUGUGUGUAAUGCUGAAAAUUCUGGCACUAUUUCGCAAACCCAGAAAACUUGAAAAACGCUGCUAAAUUUGACUUCCAGCUUUUGUGCAGUUUUCUUCCCCCUAAUGGUUGACGUGGUUUUUCUUCACAAAAGCCUGGUAUCAUAAAGGAACCAGCCCGUCCUGACUCAUCUAUUUGUGUCUUGGCUACAGUAAACCUCUUUUUUUGUCUUCUCACUAUGUGUAAUUAUGGCGACUGCUUAUGUUUUCUGUAAUAGUGGGGUAAAGCUUAUGAUGACAGACUGAAAAGGUCAAAACAUGUUGAAGGAACCAAUCGGGAUUUUGAUGACUGCCAGAUGAGAGAAAUUUAGCAGAAGCGUUUCGAUUUCAAAUUUCAUGAAUAGGUGGGCUUGGUAGUUAUAAAACUGUAUACUGUGUCUUUAAGAUUACAUAAAUAGUCUGAAACCUUUAGUAGUGAUUACUU